rnacentral:rRNA from 1 species
GAUUAGAUACCCUGGUAGUCCACGCCGUAAACGAUGUCGACUUGGAGGUUGUUCCCUUGAGGAGUGGCUUCCGGAGCUAACGCGUUAAGUCGACCGCCUGGGGAGUACGGCCGCAAGGUUAAAACUCAAAUGAAUUGACGGGGGCCCGCACAAGCGGUGGAGCAUGUGGUUUAAUUCGAUGCAACGCGAAGAACCUUACCUACUCUUGACAUCCAGGGAAUUUGGCAGAGAUGCCUUGGUGCCUUCGGGAACUGUGAGACAGGUGCUGCAUGGCUGUCGUCAGCUCGUGUUGUGAAAUGUUGGGUUAAGUCCCGCAACGAGCGCAACCCUUAUCCUUUGUUGCCAGCGAUUCGGUCGGGAACUCAAAGGAGACUGCCGGUGAUAAACCGGAGGAAGGUGGGGAUGACGUCAAGUCAUCAUGGCCCUUACGAGUAGGGCUACACACGUGCUACAAUGGCGCAUACAAAGAGAAGCGACCUCGCGAGAGCAAGCGGACCUCACAAAGUGCGUCGUAGUCCGGAUCGGAGUCUGCAACUCGACUCCGUGAAGUCGGAAUCGCUAGUAAUCGUGGAUCAGAAUGCCACGGUGAAUACGUUCCCGGGCCUUGUACACACCGCCCGUCACACCAUGGGA